GGAAAUAAAAAAGUAAACCGAACCGAUCAAAAAAGAAAACCGAAAGAAGAAUACAAAAGCACAAAACCCUUAGAACCCUAAAUUGCGAAAUCGAACAAUUCAAUCAUCAAUCAUGAAUUUUGAAAGAUUUGAACGCGAAUUGCAAGACUGUGUGCUGAAAUUGGAAUCCUAAGAGCAGCGAUUAACUUUCCAGAGGGAAAUCUGCUUUCUCUUAACGAAGAUCUGAAGCUUUUGAGGUCAGAGACGGUGGAUUUAUUUGGAUUGUCGGACAAAGUAGAUCAAAGAAUUCAGGGGAUUGAAGAGAAUUUCUUGAAGCUGAAGCAGGAAUUUGAGCAGUUCAGGCAAAUUAUGGUCUUGAGGUUGAAUGCUAUGGCGGUCGAUGCUAUAAACAAUGAAGAUCUUCUGAAUUUCUACAUCAACAACUUCAAUCAAUCGGUUCCUACUGCUUUUCAGUGGAUCUAUUGGCUGCAACGUGAUGCGGCUAAUCUCCCAGAAUCAAUAAUUUAGCCGUGAUCGAAGCUGAUCAGAUUCUGAAUGUUGCUGCUGAGCAGACACUGAUAAUUGAAUCAGUGAUCCCAUAUUACACUGCUGCUUAGACGAAGGUGAAUUAGUGACUGACAAUUGUAGCUACUGUUUACAUUUAGACACUGGAUUUUUGUAUAGACACUGAGCUGAGCUAUUUGAUACUUAUGCUCAUGAAAUUCCGGAUUACAUGGAUGCUGCUUGAAGCUGAUGAUGAUACUAUGUCCUGCUGUUCUCAACUCUAAAAGUAGCUACUUUUGUGAAGCAUCUGCUUUCUACUAGUUCCUAUUUUGCAAACUCUAUUAGCUAUGUUACUAGGCUUUUGAAUGGGCUAAGGCUGCUUUAUAUGCACCCUCCUAUUCUCAUUUUGAGCUUGUGGUUUAAUGCCUCUAUAAUGUAAUACUUGUAUAUAUUUCCCCUUUGCGUUAAA